rnacentral:misc_RNA from 1 species
GAUGAAGAACGUAGUGAAAUGCGAUAAGUAAUGUGAAUUGCAGAAUUCAGUGAAUCAUCGAAUCUUUGAACGCACAUUGCGCCCCCUGGUAUUCCGGGGGGCAUGCCUGUCCGAGCGUCAUUACAACCCUCAAGCUCAGCUUGGUGUUGGGCCCCGCCGCCCCGGCGGGCCCUAAAGUCAGUGGCGGUGCCGUCCGGCUCCGAGCGUAGUAAUUCUUCUCGCUCUGGAGGUCCGGUCGUGUGCUCGCCAGCAACCCCCAAUUUUUUUCAGGUUGACCUCGGAUCAGGUAGGGAUACCCGCUGAACUUAGGCAUAUCAAUAAGCGGAGGA